ensembl:lncRNA
AUGUUUCUAAAUCUUGUUCCUUCACAGUCUCUGUUCCUUCACAGUUUCUGUUCCUCAUCAGUCUCUGUUCCUCAUCAGUCUUUGUUCCUCAUCAGUCUUUGUUCCUCAUCAGUCUUUGUUCCUCAUCAGUCUUUGAUCCUCAUCAGUCUUUGUUCCAUCACAGUCUUUGUUCCAUCACAGUCUUUGUUCCUCAUCACAGUCUUUGUUCCUCAUCAGUCUCUGUUCCUCAUCAGUCUUUGUUCCUAUCACAGUUUCUGUUCCUCAUCAGUCUUUGUUCCUCAUCAGUCUCUGUUCCUCAUCAGUCUUUGUUCCUCAUCAGUCUCUGUUCCUCAUCAGUCUUUGUUCCUAUCAGUCUUUGUUCCAUCACAGUCUAUGUUCCUCGUCAGUCCUUGUUCCUCGCCAAUCUUUGUUCCUUCACAGGCUUUGUUCCUCAUCAGUCUUUGUUCCUUCACAGUCUUUGUUCCUUCACAGUCUCUGUUCCUCAUCAGUCUUUGUUCCUUCACAGUCUUUGUUCCUUCACAGUGUCUGUUCCUCAUCAGUCUCUUUUUGUUCCUUCACAGUCUUUGUUCCUUCACAGUGUCUGUUCCUCAUCAGUCCUUGUUCCUCAUCAGUCUUUGUUCCUUGUCAAUCUUUGUUCCUUUUCAGUCUCUGUUCCUUCACAGUCUCUGUUCCUUCACAGUCUCUGUUCCUCAUCAGUCUUUGUUUCUCAUCAGUCUCUGUUCCUCCACAGUCUUUGUUCCUCCACAGUCUCUGUUCCUCAUCAGUCUUUGUUCCUCAUCAGUCUUUGUUCCUUCACAGUCUCUGUUCCUUCACAGUCUCUGUUCCUUCACAGUCUUUGUUCCUUCACAGUCUUUGUUCCUCAUCAGUCUUUGUUCCUCAUCAGUCUUUGUUCCUCAUCAGUCUCUGUUCCUUCACAGUCUCUGUUCCUCAUCAGUCUCUGUUCCUUCACAGUCUUUGUUCCUCAUCAGUCUUUGUUCCUCAUCAGUCUUUGUUCCUCAUCAGUCUUUGUUCCUUAUCAGUCUUUAUUCCUCAUCAGUCUUUGUUCCUUCACAGUCUCUGUUCCUCAUCAGUCUUUGUUCCUCAUCAGUCUUUGUUCCUCAUCAGUCUUUGUUCCUCAUCAGUCUUUGUUCCUCAUCAGUCUUUGUUCCUCAUCAGUCUUUGUUCCUUCACAGUCUCUGUUCCUCAUCAGUCUCUGUUCCUCAUCAGUCUCUGUUCCUUCACAGUCUUUGUUCCUCAUCAGUCUUUGUUCCUCAUCAGUCUUUGUUCCUCAUCAGUCUUUGUUCCUUAUCAGUCUUUAUUCCUCAUCAGUCUUUGUUCCUUCACAGUCUCUGUUCCUCAUCAGUCUCUGUUCCUCAUCAGUCUUUAUUCCUCAUCAGUCUUUGUUCCUUCACAGUCUCUGUUCCUCAUCAGUCUCUGUUCCUCAUCAGUCUUUGUUCCUUCACAGUCUUUGUUCCUUCACAGUCUCUGUUCCUCAUCAGUCUCUGUUCCUCAUCAGUCUUUGUUCCUUCACAGUCUCUGUUCCUCAUCAGUCUUUGUUCCUCAUCAGUGUCUGUUCCUUCACAGUCUUUGUUCCUCAUCAGUCUUUGUUCCUCAUCAGUCUUUGUUCCUUCACAGUUUCUGUUCCUUCACAGUCUUUGUUCCUCAUCAGUCUUUGUUCCUCAUCAGUCUUUGUUCCUCAUCAGUCUUUCCUCAUCAUCGCCAUCACACUGGAAGCAGAAAGCUUCAGUAAUUGAAACUGAUUGGAUCUCAAUCAGUUUAAUCUGGUGA